rnacentral:rRNA from 1 species
GGCUCAGAUUGAACGCUGGCGGCAUGCUUACACAUGCAAGUCGAACGGCAGCACGGGAGCAAUCCUGGUGGCGAGUGGCGAACGGGUGAGUAAUAUAUCGGAACGUGCCCAGUAGUGGGGGAUAACUGUUCGAAAGAGCAGCUAAUACCGCAUACGACCUGAGGGUGAAAGGGGGGGAUCGCAAGACCUCUCGCUAUUGGAGCGGCCGAUAUCAGAUUAGCUAGUUGGUGGGGUAAAGGCCUACCAAGGCAACGAUCUGUAGUUGGUCUGAGAGGACGACCAGCCACACUGGGACUGAGACACGGCCCAGACUCCUACGGGAGGCAGCAGUGGGGAAUUUUGGACAAUGGGCGCAAGCCUGAUCCAGCAAUGCCGCGUGCAGGAAGAAGGCCUUCGGGUUGUAAACUGCUUUUGUCAGGGAAGAAAUCCUCUAGGUUAAUACCCUUGGGGGGAUGACGGUACCUGAAGAAUAAGCACCGGCUAACUACGUG